rnacentral:rRNA from 1 species
CCUACGGGAGGCAGCAGUGGGGAAUAUUGCACAAUGGGGGAAACCCUGAUGCAGCGACGCCGCGUGAGUGAAGAAGUAUUUCUGUAUGUAAAACUCUAUCAGCACGGGGGAAAUAGCAACCUUUGGUUCGCCAGACGGUACCUGGCUAAGAAGCCCCGGCUAACUACGUGCCAGCAGCCGCGGUAAUACGUAGGGGGCAAGCGUUAUCCGGGUUUACUGGGUGUAAAGGGAGCGUAGACGGUAGCAUAAGUCUGAAGUGAAAUGCCGGGGCUUAACCCCGGAACUGCUUUGGAGACUGUGCAGCUAGAGUGCAGGAGAGGUAAGUGGAAUUCAUAGUGUAGCGGUGAAAUGCGUAGAUAUUAGGAGGAACACCAGUGGCGAAGGCGGCUUACUGGACUGUAACUGACGUUGAGGCUCGAAAGCGUGGGGAGCAAACAGGAUGAGAUACCCCGGUAGUC